AUGCGGAGGAAGGUGGGGAUGACGUCAAAUCAUCAUGCCCCUUACGUCCCGGGCUACACACGUGCUACAAUGGCCUGUACAGAGGGUAGCGAAAGAGCGAUCUUAAGCCAAUCCCAAAAAGCAGGCCCCAGUUCGGAUUGGAGGCUGCAACUCGCCUCCAUGAAGUAGGAAUCGCUAGUAAUCGCGGAUCAGCAUGCCGCGGUGAAUACGUUCCCGGGCCUUGUACACACCGCCCGUCACACCACGAAAGUUGGCGAUACCUGAAGUUACUAGGCUAACCCAGCACUCAACUUGUUGAGUGCUCGGAGGCAGGUACCGAAGGUAUGGCUGGCGAUUGGGGUG
rnacentral:rRNA from 1 species